CAGCAGCCCGAGUGGUGGUCGUUUUUAUUGGGCCUAAAGCGUCCGUAGCCGGUCUAGUAAAUCCUUGGAUAAAUCGUCCAGCUUAACUGUACGGCUCCCGGGGAGACUGCUAGACUUGGGACUGGGAGAGGUCGGAGGUACUCCAGGGGUAGGGGUGAAAUCCUGUAAUCCUUGGGGGACCACCAGUGGCGAAGGCGUCCGACUAGAACGGAUCCGACGGUAAGGGACGAAGCCCUGGGGCGCGAACCGGAUUAGAUACCCGAGUAGUCC
rnacentral:rRNA from 1 species